rnacentral:rRNA from 1 species
UACGGAGGAUCCAAGCGUUAUCCGGAAUCAUUGGGUUUAAAGGGUCCGUAGGCGGUUUUAUAAGUCAGUGGUGAAAGUUUGCAGCUUAACUGUAAAAUUGCCAUUGAUACUGUAAGACUUGAAUAAUUGUGAAGUAACUAGAAUAUGUAGUGUAGCGGUGAAAUGCUUAGAUAUUACAUGGAAUACCAAUUGCGAAGGCAGGUUACUAACAAUUCAUUGACGCUGAUGGACGAAAGCGUGGGUAGCGAACAGG